rnacentral:rRNA from 1 species
UACGAGGGGGGCAAGCGUUGUUCGGAAUUAUUGGGCGUAAAGGGCGCGUAGGCGGUCUGAUAAGUCAUCUGUGAAAUCUAUGGGCUCAACCCAUAGUCUGCAGGCGAAACUGUCGGGCUUGAGUAUGGGAGAGGUGAGUGGAAUUUCCGGUGUAGCGGUGAAAUGCGUAGAUAUCGGAAGGAACGCCUGUGGCGAAAGCGGCUCACUGGACCAUUACUGACGCUGAUGCACGAAAGCUAGGGGAGCAAACAGG